ACGUCAUGAAUAUUUUAAUAUAUUUACGGCAUAUUUGUACACCUUUAAUGGGAUAAAUAUUCCUCGUAGAAAUUUUCACAUUUAAGUCAUCUUUUUUGCCCCGUAAAUAAGCAAUAAAACUUGCCCCCAAAAAUUUUCCUCUCCGCGCCAAAAUUUUCACACUCCCGCACAAUUAAAAUCACUUUAAAAAUGUAUACAUAAAAAAAAAAAAAAAAAAAAAAGAAGAAAGAACUUAAGAGACAUAUAUCUCUUCGUCCUCAGACCCAUUCACAUUUGGAGACCCAAACACAUGAGGAACCAUAUUUCUUUCCCUUGGUGCAGUUCCCAGAUUAGAUCCACACGGCCCGCAUGCUCAGGCUUCUUCUCUUCAUGGUUGCUUUUGUUCGAUCUUGGAGUUCUGAUUCACGCUUCUCUUCGUGGUUGCUUUUGUUCAAUCUUGGAGUUUUCGGCCAAAUCGCAUUGUCGAGUAAGCUUCGCCGUCCCAAAUUUGGAGCAAUCAGCGAUGGAAAGAAAGGCUUCCAACACCAUUAUCACCGACGAGAUUGCUGGACCUGUAAGUGGUAACACGAAACAACCACACAGAAAACACGUCUUAGCAGACCAUUUAUCCCUCUUUCAUCAAGCCCUAAUAUUUCUCUUCUUGAAAUGGAAAAGCAAAAUUCAGUCUCUGUCCUUGGCUUCUUCAAACUUGUAUCAUGUUACUUGGAUUUUCUUUCUCUUUUCUCUGUUUUUGUUUCCUUUUUUUGUCUCUUGUUGUUUGAUUAUUGUUGCAAGUAGAGGAAAGAUCAUCAAACCCAGCCAAAUGGAUACCAAGAAUUCUUCUUCCAAAAGAAAAACCUCCAAGAUCCCCUCUGAGAUGAUGGAGGACGACUUGUCUGUACGGAGAGAUUAAGAACCAAAGAUAUAACAUACAGAGUAGAACCGAAGAAUUAUUGGCAGGUGGAGGUUUGAUAUCUGGGGUUACAUUGGUUGCCAAGUUUAUCAACCCUGCUAUUCGAGUUUUGGCUGCUGAAUCAAUGGGAGCACCUACUUGCUUGGAUUUUGUACCGUGGAAAAUGAGGUGGUUUUUGACAAGUGUAGAUUGAAACUCAAUUGCUAAGAAAUUGAUUUUUUUUUUUUUUGCAAAUGGCUUUACUUCAUAUUUUGGCACAUUGAUCAAUCAUGAAUUCUUGAAUUGUAAAAAUAUUUUAAGUCUUUUGAUAUGUUUAAUGUGGUAUUUCAAGAUA